rnacentral:tRNA from 1 species
GCCUGGCUGGCUCAGUCGGUACAGCAUAAGACUCUCAACCUGAGGGUCAUGAGUUCAAGUCCUAUGUUGGGUG